UACGUAGGGCGCAAGCGUUGUCCGUAAUUAUUGGGCGUAAAGAGCUCGUAGGCGGCUUGUCACGUCGGGUGUGAAAGCCCGGGGCUUAACCCCGGGUCUGCAUUCGAUACGGGCUAGCUAGAGUGUGGUAGGGGAGAUCGGAAUUCCUGGUGUAGCGGUGAAAUGCGCAGAUAUCAGGAGGAACACCGGUGGCGAAGGCGGAUCUCUGGGCCAUUACUGACGCUAAGGAGCGAAAGCGUGGGGAGCGAACAGG
rnacentral:rRNA from 1 species